GGUUAACCGUAUAGGGGAGCCGAAGGGAAACCGAGUCUUAACUGGGCGUUAAGUUGCAGGGUAUAGACCCGAAACCCGGUGAUCUAGCCAUGGGCAGGUUGAAGGUUGGGUAACACUAACUGGAGGACCGAACCGACUAAUGUUGAAAAAUUAGCGGAUGACCUGUGGCUGGGGGUGAAAGGCCAAUCAAACCGGGAGAUAGCUGGUUCUCCCCGAAAGCUAUUUAGGUAGCGCCUCGUGAAUUCAUCUCCGGGGGUAGAGCACUGUUUCGGCUAGGGGGCCAUCCCGGCUUACCAACCCGAUGCAAACUGCGAAUACCGGAGAAUGUUAUCACGGGAGACACACGGCGGGUGCUAACGUCCGUCGUGAAGAGGGAAACAACCCAGACCGCCAGCUAAGGUCCCAAAGUCAUGGUUAAGUGGGAAACGAUGUGGGAAGGCCCAGACAGCCAGGAUGUUGGCUUAGAAGCAGCCAUCAUUUAAAGAAAGCGUAAUAGCUCACUGGUCGAGUCGGCCUGCGCGGAAGAUGUAACGGGGCUAAACCAUGCACCGAAGCUGCGGCAGCGACGCUUAUGCGUUGUUGGGUAGGGGAGCGUUCUGUAAGCCGUUGAAGGUGUGCUGUGAGGCAUGCUGGAGGUAUCAGAAGUGCGAAUGCUGACAUAAGUAACGAUAAAGCGGGUGAAAAGCCCGCUCGCCGGAAGACCAAGGGUUCCUGUCCAACGUUAAUCGGGGCAGGGUGAGUCGACCCCUAAGGCGAGGCCGAAAGGCGUAGUCGAUGGGAAACAGGUUAAUAUUCCUGUACUUGGUGUUACUGCGAAGGGGGGACGGAGAAGGCUAUGUCGGCCGGGCGACGGUUGUCCCGGUUUAAGCGUGUAGGUGUGUGCUCCAGGCAAAUCCGGUGCACUUUAACACUGAGGCGUGAUGACGAGGCACUACGGUGCUGAAGUGACAAAUGCCCUGCUUCCAGGAAAAGCCUCUAAGCAUCAGGUAACACGAAAUCGUACCCCAAACCGACACAGGUGGUCAGGUAGAGAAUACCAAGGCGCUUGAGAGAACUCGGGUGAAGGAACUAGGCAAAAUGGUGCCGUAACUUCGGGAGAAGGCACGCUGAUAUGUAGGUGAAGUGAUUUACUCAUGGAGCUGAAAUCAGUCGAAGAUACCAGCUGGCUGCAACUGUUUAUUAAAAACACAGCACUGUGCAAACACGAAAGUGGACGUAUACGGUGUGACGCCUGCCCGGUGCCGGAAGGUUAAUUGAUGGGGUUAUCCCUCGGGAGAAGCUCUUGAUCGAAGCCCCGGUAAACGGCGGCCGUAACUAUAACGGUCCUAAGGUAGCGAAAUUCCUUGUCGGGUAAGUUCCGACCUGCACGAAUGGCGUAAUGAUGGCCAGGCUGUCUCCACCCGAGACUCAGUGAAAUUGAACUCGCUGUGAAGAUGCAGUGUACCCGCGGCAAGACGGAAAGACCCCGUGAACCUUUACUAUAGCUUGACACUGAACACUGGUCCUUGAUGUGUAGGAUAGGUGGGAGGCUUUGAAGUGCGGACGCCAGUCUGCAUGGAGCCGCCCUUGAAAUACCACCCUUUAAUGGCUGGUGUUCUAACGUGGGCCCGUAAUCCGGGUUGCGGACAGUGUCUGGUGGGUAGUUUGACUGGGGCGGUCUCCUCCUAAAGAGUAACGGAGGAGCACGAAGGUCAGCUAAUCCUGGUCGGACAUCAGGAGGUUAGUGCAAUGGCAUAAGCUGGCUUGACUGCGAGCGUGACGGCGCGAGCAGGUGCGAAAGCAGGUCAUAGUGAUCCGGUGGUUCUGAAUGGAAGGGCCAUCGCUCAACGGAUAAAAGGUACUCCGGGGAUAACAGGCUGAUACCGCCCAAGAGUUCAUAUCGACGGCGGUGUUUGGCACCUCGAUGUCGGCUCAUCACAUCCUGGGGCUGAAGUAGGUCCCAAGGGUAUGGCUGUUCGCCAUUUAAAGUGGUACGCGAGCUGGGUUUAGAACGUCGUGAGACAGUUCGGUCCCUAUCUGCCGUGGGCGCUGGAGAACUGAGGGGGGCUGCUCCUAGUACGAGAGGACCGGAGUGGACGCAUCACUGGUGUUCGGGUUGUCAUGCCAAUGGCACUGCCCGGUAGCUAAAUGCGGAAGAGAUAAGUGCUGAAAGCAUCUAAGCACGAAACUUGCCCCGAGAUGAGUUCUCCCUGACUCCUUGAGAGUCCUGAAGGAACGUUGAAGACGACGACGUUGAUAGGCCGGGUGUGUAAGCGCAGCGAUGCGUUGAGCUAACCGGUACUAAUGAACCGUGAGGCUUAACCUU
rnacentral:rRNA from 1 species